UUCUGUGUCUCCCUCUCUCUCUGCCCCUCCCCCGUUCAUGCUGUGUCUCUCUCUGUCUCAAAAAUAAAUAAACGUUAAAAAAAAAAUUAAAAAAAAAAAAAAGAAAUGCAGUGACUCCAUGAGUCACACCCGCCUUUAAUAAGAUCUCCAGACUAGUUGUGUCUACACGGAAGUUUGAGAAACUCUGGCCUACGUAACUCUGUUUGGCUGGGAGUUUUGAUGUUUUGCAGCAAGCACAUUUUCACGUAUUACCUGUGUAAUCAAAAGAUGUUUUAAAGAGACUAGAUUAUAAAGAAGGUGAAAAUUCAGGGAGGAGACUGACCCCUGCUGGACUGGGUCGGAAGGAGUCCGCAGAGCCAGUCCAGGAGGUAACAGGCUGCCACAUCCCCUGAGAGCCGAGGUGCCGCUCUCUGGGUGGAAAACUGAGAACGAGGGCAGGAGGGAAGAGGGGGAGAGGUCCUGGACAAGCGCCCCAGCUUGAAAGUUCUGUUUCUGCUCAUUGUCGUAAGCUUGCUACAAGCAGACAUCUGGCCCCAGUAGACCCUCAUAACUGCAAGUUGAAUGCAGGAAAUGUCCAAGGAUCUGAAGUUCUAGCAGUGACGACAGCCGAAUGACUGCAAACGAGUGUCCGUGGACUCACAACUCUAAGGACGUCGUGACAGCCAGUAGGAGAAGAAGUCAUUCUUUCCACAAUUACCAGCUUCUCUCUUUCCCCGUUCCUUUGGAUCAGCCUCCUGCAAGAAGCCGAUUUCCAGCUGCAUGUGAUAAUGAGAGGAUUUUUCUUUCUUCUUAUGUUAAAUACAAGUGAAUUGAUUAAAUAGAAGACAGUGUCUGAUUGCUAGGAAAUCAGUGAUUCAGAUGGCAUGGAAUGGCACCUGGGGAUGGGGGAAGAGAAAACAGGAGGGGGAGGAAGCCCAUACAGCCAUCCGUGCCAAGGACAGUCAAGGGCGGACGGGGCUGAGGCUUGGAGGAGGAAGGAUUUGACAUCACUUGGUCCAGCCUCAACGUCUGUGGGUGCAGAAUGAUAAGGGAUGACGGGAGCUGGCUGUGGACCCAGAACUAUAAGCCAGAGCUUCCUCGCCUUCUCCGCUGUUCACACCCCACCGGCUUUCUCUGCCUACUUCCACCUUCCUGCCGCAGACCCCUACCUCCUUGCUGAGUGCACUUUCCACUAGCAGGGAGUCUGGACACGAGCCGAACAUAUUCAGGAAUCAUGCUGUACUUCUACAUCAGGAGGUAGGGCUGCUCCCUAGAAUGUCCCUCCCUGUCCCUCCCAAAGGUAACCAGUCUUUCAAAGCCAUGGAUCAUUUUUGCUAAUCUCUGUACUUUUUGUGGAAACAGAAUCCGACAGCGAUGACCUUUGUGUGUGCGUUCUGACUUCUUUUGCUCAACAGAGGGUCUGUGAGAUUUAUCCAUGUUGCUGUGUAGAGCAAUAGGUUCAUUUGUACUCAUUUCUAUAUGCUGGCAUUCUACUUUGUGACUUUACCACAGCUUAUCUUAUCCACUCUACCUUGGAGAGACAUUGGGACUCAUACCAGUUUGGGGCUAGUAUGAACAGUGCAGUUAGAAACAUUCUUGCACAGAAGAAGAAGAAGGAGGAGGAGGAGGAGGGGGAGGAGGAGGAGGAGGAGAAGAAAAAGAAAGGAAGGGGGGGGGAGGAAGAAAGAAAGAAAAGAAAAAAAAAGACACAUUCUUGCACACAUUCUGGUAGACAUAAGCUCUUGUUUGUUGUGUUCAUGCCCAGGAGCGGAAUUGCUACCUCCUAAGUUAUGCAUAUGGUCACUGUCAGUAGGGUACUGCCAGUUUGCCAACAGUUUUACCAAUUUAUAUACCCCCGAAUGUCUGUGAAAGUUUCAGUUGCUCUGUGUUUUCAUCAGUACUUGAUCUUGUUUUGCUUGUU